GGAAAGAUGAUAACUUACCAAGGCUGUAGGAGUCAGGAUGGAUCAGUAAUCAAAGAGGGGAUGUCCUUAGCAUAUAUGAACAGGGAAAAUGAGGUUGAAAUCGGACUCUUCAAGAGAGGAUAUUUAAUACUUCUAGAAAAUCAGAGGAAGUCGUUAAUUACUGUAGAGAAAGGACACAUCCAGACAACAUCAUUUCUAGGUUGCCCUAUUGUGCACCUCAAGAACGAAACUGAUGUAGUCCCCCUCCACAGAGUUCUUUCCUAUGUCCCUCUUGUUCACCAUUGCGCUCAAUCCCACUGCACCAUCAGAGAAGGAAGAACUACUAUCAGAGUGGAACAAGAGGACAAAGAUGUGUAUAAAAGAUUUCUUGUACAUAACAUGAAUCAUGCCAUAAGAGUUUAUGUAGUUAAUGUUUUUUCUCUUAAAUGUCCAUCAGAAUUUCCAUUUUCAGAUCUAAAAACCUGCUCAAAAAAAUUGUAAAUUUACCGUUCUGCUGUCUGAAAAUGUGUACAUAUUUAAUUGUACAUCAAGAGUAUCAAUUACUAUGUAUAACAGGUCUUACUGUUAAAGAUUCAAUAUCCUUUGAAGGAAUAAAAUGUAUUCCCUUUUUUCAAAGUUCAAUGGUUUGAUGAAAAAACAUUGUUUGUACCGGUACAUGUAGUGUUUUUUUUUUUAUUAUUGAGAGUAUUUUUGCCUAGGAGAUGUUUUUGUUAUACUGUGUGGUAGACAUUCUUUAAUAGAAAUUUUAUAUUUAAAGGUAUGUUAAUAUUGUAUGCACUUUUUUUCAUCAUGCAUAUUAUGAAGGUGAUUUGCAAUAUUAGCUUCAUUGUUUUCAAAUGUACUGUGAAAAUUAGAAAUUACAAGUGAAUGUUGAGAAAACUAAAUAUUAUAUUUUGUGGUAAAGACAGACAAUCUUCAAAUGUAUCAUUUCUUUACAAUGGUAAUGAAAUAGAACUUGUCAAGGAAUUUAAAUAUUUAGGAGUUUUAUUUUUAAGAACAGACUCUUUCUACAGUACUAAUAAAUAAGUAGUGACGAGAGAUACCCGAGUAAUGUACACAAUAAUUAAGUAGUGUAGAGAAUAAAAUCUAUCGAUUGAUUGUCAACUUGAUAUGUUUGAUAAAAUGAUUGUUUCAAUUUUACUGUAUGGUUCUGAAUUGUGGGGUUUUGAAAAGUUAUAUUUAAGAGAGUCAACUCUCCAGGCUGAUGUGUACAGUAUACACUCUUGCUUUUUGUAUAAUAUUGUCUGUAUUGUUUAUUUUCUCUAUGGUGUUUUAUACAAUAUGACAAUACGAAUUGAAUUGAGAAUAUGAAUUGAAUACUGUAUUUAUCUCUCAGAAUUACAUGUUUUUAUUUUAGUUUCUGUUUACAAUUGCUGUCUAUAGAUUAUGUAUAUUUUAAUGACAACAGGUAAAUUAGUUUUUAAAACUAAUUGUGCUAGCUAUAGCCGAAUGACAUUCUUCUUAUUAUUAUCAUUACAGUCUUAUCCUUUCAUAGCAUUAUCCAAAAACACAAACUGAUUUGUGAUUAUGAUAAGCAUAUGAUAUGCACUGCAUCAACUUUACAAAGAUUUACAAUUUCCAUGCAAAACUUUUCAUAUACAAUCUUUGUUCAUCAAUGAUAGUCAUUAAUUUAUAACCAGAUUUAUCAAAUAAAUGGAUGCAAUG
rnacentral:misc_RNA from 1 species